CCAGCUUCUCGGCCUUUUGGCUAAGAUCAAGUGUAGUAUCUGUUCUUAUCAGUUUAAUAUCUGAUNAAGAAAAAGCUGUUUUUCCCUGAAAAAAAAAAGGAAUGCAGCUUUAGAAGUAAAAUCUAACAACAGUUUUUAAAGCACAUUAUAUGUACCUACAGUACAAAUGCACACAUUGAUAUAUGCUUACCUUGUGCACACAUU
rnacentral:snRNA from 12 species